UACGGAGGGUGCGAGCGUUGUUCGGAAUCACUGGGCGUAAAGGGCGUGUAGGCGGUCCGCUAAGUCUGAUGUGAAAGCCCGGGGCUCACCCCCGGAAGUGCAUUGGAAACUGGCGGACUCGAGUCCCGGAGAGGAGGGUGGAAUUCCUGGUGUAGCGGUGAAAUGCGUAGAUAUCAGGAGGAACACCGGUGGCGAAGGCGGAUCUCUGGGCCGAUACUGACGCUGAGGAGCGAAAGCGUGGGGAGCGAACAGG
rnacentral:rRNA from 1 species